CUUAGUGGCGGACGGGUGAGUAACGCGUGGGUAACCUGCCUUAUACAGGGGGAUAACACUUAGAAAUAGGUGCUAAUACCGCAUAAGCGCACGGGGCUGCAUGGCCCAGUGUGAAAAACUCCGGUGGUAUAAGAUGGACCCGCGUCUGAUUAGCUUGUUGGCGGGGUAACGGCCCACCAAGGCGACGAUCAGUAGCCGGCCUGAGAGGGUGGACGGCCACAUUGGGACUGAGACACGGCCCAGACUCCUACGGGAGGCAGCAG
rnacentral:rRNA from 1 species